GAGCUUGCCUGCCAAGACUGGUGCUUCUGCAAAGUGGCCUCUUGGUUUGAGCAUGCCCAGCCCUCUGGCCAAGACCCCUGAGGAAGAGGUUCUGUGUGCUUUGCAGAGCUUGGAGAUGCUGGAAACUGCUCCUUCUGGUGGCCAGCCUGGAUACCCAGCCUAUUGGAGGCACCCCAAACUCCCUGAAGUAGGGACCCUGCUGUCAGCACCUAUGACUACCACUGUCAUCCUGAAGACCAGCACUGGGGGCUUUGAGGGACCCUGGACUCAGUACUUUGUAUUCAGAAAAAAAAAAUUCCAAGAAUCAGACUGGGCCUGGGUGACACAGGGAUGGUGGCCAAGGAACCUUCCAGGACUGUUCCCUCAAGUAGGCAUGGGUCACCCAAAGAGUGAGAGAGAGAGGAGCAAACUAAAAAAAGUACAUACCCACCA
rnacentral:lncRNA from 1 species